rnacentral:lncRNA from 1 species
GUUGACUCUCUCACAUAAAAUCAAAAAACUUAAAUGCACUAUCAGACCGGAGUAGGACAUGACUACAUACACACCACUUCCACACAGUCCAUGACAGUUCUUACUGACUUUUUUCUUGUUACCAAUUAAUUGGCUAAUUGACAUUCAUUUACCCAAUAGCCACCUUUUCAUUAUUGUAACUACUUCUAAACAAAUAGCUAGCAUUAACAUGUCAAGGUCAUGAUUUAACAUUCAUCCCGGCCAGCAAUUCUUCAUCACUAACUGCUCAUCACUAACUGCCUAAGCAAAUUCCAGCAUCACUUCAAAUGCUUUCAACAAACCAAAGAUCAAAACUAAAGCUCUUACUGACUUUUUUCUUGUUACAAUUAAUUGGCCUAAUUGACAUUCAUUUACCCAAUAGCCACCUUUUCAUUAUUGUAACUACUUCUAAACAAAUAGCUAGCAUUAACAUGUCAAGGUCAUGAUUUAACAUUCAUCCCCGGCAGCAAAUUCUUCAUCACUAACUGCUAAGCAAAUUCCAGCAUCACUUCAAAUGCUUUCAAAAAACCAAAGAUCAAAACUAAAGCAUUGGUAUCUAUUUGGUAUUCCCUCCGUUCCUUUUUAAGUGUCAUUUUUUUGAUAUUUUACAUAUACCAAG